rnacentral:lncRNA from 10 species
GGCGUCUGCUCCUCCGUCUCCCAGAAUCCUGCCCUGGAAAAAACCAGCGCCAACCGCCGGUUUAACUGAGGACGGAUUUAAGGCAUUACGAAAGACAGUGGAAGUUAUUUCUUUUACUUUUAUUUUCGUUAACUUAAGGGGGUAGGAUCCCGGGAGCCAGGGAGAUUCAGGUCAUUGCCAUGUUUUCCACUGUUAAGCGAAUAGCAUUAUACACAGCUGCGGGCUGUGGCAAAAAACAUUUUAAAAACUUUUCAAAUAUAUUACACAUACAGAAAAUUGUACCUAUUAGAAAUAUAAAGCUUAAUAAGUUUUCAUCAACUGUAGACCUCACAUAACCAGCACCCAGAUAAGGAAAUAACCAGGCUUUCCCCUUUGCUCGGCUCUCCUUCUCUCUCCUGCUGCCCUGUGAAGAGGUGUCUUCUGCCAUAAUUGAAGAGGAAGACAGAGCUCUUACCAGGGGGAGGCAGAGAUGGCACAGCAAGAGACAUGCCCCCAGAAUGCCACCAAUGCCCCAGGACAGGCCCACCCAUGGGACCAGGUUAUCGGGAUAACCUGGGAGGAUGGGGUGGAAUCUGAGGGGUGAGCCUUCUUCCCCAGGCUGGAAGUGGGCGACACGAGACUGGCACCUCUACAUCUGAUUGUCCCCCAAACCCAGCAUUUAUGUCGUGAGCAAAGAAAGAAAUCAUGUUACUUCUUCCAGCUGAUGUUCCACUUGUUUCUUCUGCUGUUUCUGUGGGGAGAGUCAAAUUCAGGUGACUGAGGGUGGCCCCCUCAGCUCUAUUCCCCAGACCAGGAAGCGGUAGGCAGGGGCCAGGAAUGGAUUUUAAAGGCAAAGUUCUCAGACCCAAUGGCAACACAAACUGGUCAACUCUCCUCAAGCUCCCAAGGACACAGGAUGUGGGUCUUUGUUGGUUUUUGCCCACAGCCACAGAACUCAAAGUCUGAAUCUGGAUUCUCUCAAAAGGACAGUAACAUAAACCUCCAGAGACGGAGUCUGAGAAAGGCCCACCCUUCUGCCAGCUUGUGAUUUAGAAAGGUGCGUUCAUUCAAUGAACAUUUACUGAGCACACACAGGCCAGGUACAGUUCUUCACAACAGAGAUACAGGACAGAAAAGGACAGACAGGAGGCCUUCGCCCUGAGGUUUCCAUUCUAGGGGACUUUAAAUCUCAGACUCUCAGAGCUAACAGAGACCUUUGAUACUCUCUACCUCCUCUGGAAACACAAGCCCAAGGAGGAGAGGUGGCUUGUCCAGACUCAAGGGCAAAUUAGAGACUGAGUCAGGGCAGAAAUAUGGGGCCCCUGACAACCAAUCAGGCUAGCGCUUCCCUGAGAGGUGACAACCCCAGGGCGUGUGUGGCAAGGACUGGAGCAGGGGUACCUGAAGAAGAGAGAGUCAGCAAAGAGGGCAGCAAUGGAAGAGCCAUGCUGCAUGCUCCUUGCUCUGGGGUCCCUCUAGGUGAGGCAUGGGCACCCCAGCUCUCCAUUUGUCCUUGGCACCAGGGGCCCCCAGCCCCUUUAUUCAGGGCCCCAAGGGGAAACUGGAGCCCAGGAUUGGCAGAGUGGAAUCAGGGGACUCUACUGGACUCUUACCAAUGACUAUGUUUUCAAUGAGUUGACUGAUUGUUGCAGAGCUCAAGUCCAGGGCUACUGCUAGUUCUUGGUACCGGCUCUGAGGUGCAUACAGAGAGGAGGAGUUGGAGGAGGACUGCAGGGAGAGGUAGAGAGAACAAUCAUUAGGGCUGGGGUGUGUGUGGGCUGUCUCAGCUGGCAGAGGGGCACCCAGCCCCCACUGUGAGAGGAGGUUGGAGGGCUGGCCUGCAGGGUCACUGCACCUCAGCCUAGGGCCUCUUACCUCCAGAUCCUUUAGGGUAGCAGAUGAUGCAGGGGUAAUAAAAAUGAGAAAUUCAAAGAAACAAAAACUUCCAUGGGAAACAGUUAUGGAUAUAGAGAAAGUAUAAAAACAGCAAGGGACUGGGCACGGUGGCUUGCGCAUGUAACUCCAGCACUUUGGGAGGCUGAGGCUGGUGGAUCACUUGAGGUAAGGAGUUCAAGACCAGUCUGUCCAACAUGGUGAAACCUCGUCUCUACUAAAAAUACAAAGAUUAGCUGGGCAUGGUGGCAGGUGUCUG